GCAGGUCUUGAGGAUGAGAACAGGAAGUGAUGUCAUGAAGAGGUGGGUCUUGAGGAUGGGAACUGGAAGUGAUGUCAUGAAGAGGCGGGUCUUGAGGAUGGGAACUGGAAGUGAUGUCAUGAAGAGGCGGGUCUUGAGGAUGGGAAUGAGAAGUGAUGUCUUGAAGAGGUGGGUCUUGAGGAUGGGAACGGGAAG